rnacentral:tRNA from 1 species
GCCUGGCUGGCUCAGUCAGAAGAGUGUGCAACUCUUGAUCUCGGGGUAUGGGUUCAAGCCCCAUGCUAGGUA